GGGUCAGGAGGUUGGUCGUGCCACCGGUACGUACUGGUCUCACUGAUUCCUCCUUCCUGAAGAACCGUAAUGCCAUUAAUUAGGUGUUGCGGGGAAACAGGACUGUCACUUUGAAAAAAUUAGAGUGUUUAAAGCAAGCUAACGCUUGAAUACAUUAGCAUGGAAUAAUGAAAUAGGACGAUCGAUCCUAUUUUGUUGGUUUCUAGGAUUGACGUA
rnacentral:rRNA from 1 species